rnacentral:rRNA from 1 species
UACGGGGGGAGCAAGCGUUGUUCGGAUUUACUGGGCGUAAAGGGCGCGUAGGCGGCCAGCGCAAGUCAGUUGUGAAAUCUCCGGGCUUAACUCGGAAAGGUCAACUGAUACUGCGCGGCUAGAGUGCAGAAGGGGCAACUGGAAUUCUCGGUGUAGCGGUGAAAUGCGUAGAUAUCGAGAGGAACACCUGCGGCGAAGGCGGGUUGCUGGGCUGACACUGACGCUGAUGCGCGAAAGCGUGGGGAGCGAUCCGG